UUUUGGUGGUAGUUUUAAAAGGUAUGUAUUCUUUUUUCUUUAUCUUUGUAUUUUUUUUAUUUUUUUUAUGAUUAUUUUUUUUGGUGUUCUUUGUUUUGUGUAUUGUUUGUAGAUAAAAUCUUAAAUUCAACACACUAUUAAGGUAAGCAUUUUUUGUUCCCAAAUUUAUUUUGAAUUGAUAUAGUGUUUUUUAGUUUUGUGUAUUGUUUGUUUUGUGUUUAUGUUGUUUUGUGUAG
rnacentral:lncRNA from 1 species